rnacentral:rRNA from 1 species
CCUACGGGUGACAGCAGUCGAGAAUCAUUCACAAUGGGGGAAACCCUGAUGCUGCGACGCCGCGUGGGGGAAUGAAGGUCUUCGGAUUGUAAACCCCUGUCAUGUGGGAGCAAAUUAAAAAGAUAGUACCACAAGAGGAAGAGACGGCUAACUCUGUGCCAGCAGCCGCGGUAAUACAGAGGUCUCAAGCGUUGUUCGGAAUCACUGGGCGUAAGGCGUGCGUAGGCUGUUUCGUAAGUCGUGUGUGAAAGGCGCGGGCUCAACCCGCGGACGGCACAUGAUACUGCGAGACUAGAGUAAUGGAGGGGGAGCCGGAAUUCGCGGUGUAGCAGUGAAAUGCGUAGAUAUCGAGAGGAACACUCGUGGCGAAGGCGGGUUCCUGGACAUUAACUGACGCUGAGGCACGAAGGCCAGGGGAGCGAAAGGGAUUAGAUACCCGGGUAGUC